GGAGCUGGCUCGGCUCGAGUCCAACCCUAAUUGGUGGAAGUGGAUCGUUUAUCUAAAUACGAGAAUUUUCUCGCUGUUCGUCAUCCUUAUACGGCCAAAGAUAUCGUUGGAAUUUUUAUUAGAGUGGUUGUUAGGCUCUAUGGCUUUCUGAGGACCAUUGUUUUAGAUAGAGAUCGUGUUUUCAUGAGUACUUUCUGAUCAAAACUUUUUAAGGCCUCCAAAACGGCACUUCAAUUUAGCUCGGCCUAUCAUCCUCAGACUAAUGGGCAAAUCGAGGUAGUGAAUCGAAGUUUAGAAACGUAUCUCAGGUGUUUCUGUUUUGAGCAGCAGCGAACUUGGUCGAAUUGGUUGCCUUGGGGGGAAUAUUGGUUUAAUACCACAUUUAAUUCGACGGCGGGAAUGACACCAUUCAAGGCGGUGUAUGGACGCGAACUACCACCACUUUUGAAGUUUGUAGAAGAACCCUCUAAAGUCGAUGAGGUAGACGUAAUGAUAAAAUAGCGAAAUGAGAUUUUAGAUAGGUUAAAAUCUAAUCUUCACGAAGCUCAAUAGCGGAUGAAAAGUAUGGUCGAACUGGCAGUGGGAGAUCAGGUGUUUCUGAAGCUACAACCCUAUAGACUCCGAUCAUUAGCAUUGAGACCUAACGAGAAGUUGAGUCCAUGCUUUUACGGACCCUUUGAGAUAGAGGAAAAAGUAGGGUAGGUUGCAUACAGACUCAAGCUUUCGGUGAUAGCAAAAAUUCAUCCAGUCUUCCAUAUUUCCCAGCUAAAAAAAAGGAUAUGCCCCUCAGUGUCCAAUAUAUCUCUCCCACGUUGUUUGAAUGAGGAGGCUGAGUUGGAAGCACAACUUGAAGAAGUUUUAGAUUUUCGUUACUCGCAGCUUGGAGACUUGGAGCUGCUUAUUAAGUGGCAUGGUUUACACGAUCACGAAAACUCUUGGGAAUUAUACAAAAAUUUAAUUCGUGCUUUUCCUUAUUUGCACCUUGAGGACAAUGUUAGAGCUCGAGUAUAUGUGAAGAAGAAGAAAGGCAAAGCCGAAGAUACAAGUUGAGGAAUUGGCAGACGACCUCAGUAAUAACGACACUUGAGAGCAAAUUAUGGGAGCAGGGGGCUGUAAUCCUAAAACAGAUGGUAACAGUGUUGGUAAUUUUGGUGAGCAGCUGAUAGGAGCUCCAUAUGGCAACACUCUAGAAGCGGCAAAGGCAAUGGACAUGCAGCAAAAGUUUAGGGACAUACUGGGAAAGAGAGAAACUAUGAAGAUAUUAGGUGUUGAGCUGGCACGCAAGGAUUGGGGGAGCAACAGCAAGGAGUCAAGAAAUAGGGACCUAGAGAGGAAAGAAGGGAGUUUUUUGGAAGAAGGAAGAAAGGAUUAGGGGAGAAAUCCAACCUCUCGACAGUUGGAAUAGUGCUAAAUUCCUUGUAUUUUGUUUGAGUCGUAUGUAGUUAUUUUGGUUUCGGUGAUAUUAUAUUUGUGAGAGAUUAUUAUCUUAAAACUUAAGAGUAUGUCAAUUCUUUUUGCGUUUGUGGAAGUAAUGGAAUUGCAAUGCCUAUCUGAUUUCAUUUCUUAUCAAACUUAUUACAGCUGAAAUAUUAAUUUCUUUUUCUGUUCUCCGUAUUCUCCACUGUUACAUUAAGGAAGAAGCAAGUAAAAUCUCUUGGGUGUACACUGAUUCUUCAGGAAAUUCUGUCCGCGCAACUGCAACGCAGGGAGAGGAAUAUUUGUGCAGCCUGCUCACUCUUCAGGGCUCGGGUCUACGUGAAGAGGAAAAGAAGAGGAAGAAGGGCGACCUUGAAGGAGCAAAUCUGGAAUUCGACAGAAGGCAUUGAUGAUAAUAACAGAAAGCAGGAUAGUGAAGCGGAAGGCAGCAGUCCAAAAGCUGUGAGUGAUAAUGUUGGUAGCAAUAUUAGUAAACAGCCUAGGUGGACUCCAGGUGGCAGCAUUCCAGUGGCGGAGAGGAUAACAGACACGCAGCAAAAGAUUAGGAGUAUGCUGGAAGAGACAGAGGUUGUGAAUACAGGGGACGCUGAGUUGGCAUUUGGAGAUUGGUUGGGUGUCAGCAAGGAGUCCAGAAAUAAGGAGCUAAGAGAGGAAGCAAGGGGGGAGGGAAAAAGAAGGAAAUAGAGUAAGGGAGAGUCCCAACCUCUCGAAAGCUGGUGGGUGUAGGGUUUGGUUUGUGUUUUGCUUGAGGUAUCUGUUUGGUCUUUACGAUAGGAAGGUUAUUGUCUUAGUUUGAGUAUUACUUGUUGGUUAAAAUUCCAGUAGAGUUGUUUAUUUGUGAUGAUAUGAAUGAUAGAUGUACAAUGUAAUCAAACUCUUCUUUUAACGAAAUGAUUCAGUAAAAGUUCAUUGUUCU